ACAACUCACACGUCAUAAAAACUAAAAGAAAAUAAACGGAGAGGGAGAGGGAGAGGGAGAGAGAGAAAGGAUCAGAGGAGUAAGAGGAAAGUUAGAAAUCAGAGGGAGGAAAAACAGAGGGGUUGGGUAAGAAGAAGAGAGAUGUCACCGGCGAUUAAGAAAAAGACUUCGCCGGUGAAGGAGAAAGAGAUGGCGGCAGAGUCUCAGAUCACUGGCGAGGAGUAAGGAGGAGCUCGCCGGUGAUGGUGACAGUGACGACCCAGAGGACGACGGUGAGAAGAAAGAAGAGGUGACGAAGAAGAAGGCAGAUUUUUUGCUCUGUUUCUGGCGAACAGAAGAGAUGAAGAACAAGAAAUCAGAGACAACGCCGGCUGUGCAUGCAAGCUUCUGGUCACAGAAAAGAGAAAGAGAUGAUGGUGAUGGUCGUUGAAGCGGCUAAGAAGAAGAAGAAUGGCAGCGGUGAGUGGUGCUAAGAGCAAAAAGUCAGAGGAGCGGCGCAGAGAAGUGAGAAUAGGGCCGUGGUGCUGCUGCAUGCAGAAAAAGCGUUCGGUAAAGACAGAUCGGAGCAGAAAGACAGACGAUGCCGCUGAUGGAAGUUCUGUCUCAGUGAAGAUAAAGGUUGAGGAUCUGUUGGUGUUUGAGUGAUGGUUGAUGGCUGCAGUUUCAGUUUGAAUGCAGUAAUAUGAAAUAUAGAGUAUAAUCUGAAGAAG